GACGAACGCUGGCGGCGUGCCUAAUACAUGCAAGUCGAACGCAGUUGGGACGGGUGAGUAACACGUGGGUAACCUUCCCAUCAGAGGGGAUAACACUUGGAAACAGGUGCUAAACCGAUACGGAUGGAUGGACCCGCGGUGCAUUAGCUAGUUGGUGAGGUGACGGCCCACCAGGGCCACGAUGAAUAGCCGACCUGAACGGGUGAUCGGCCACAUGGGGACUGGAACACGGCCCAGACUCCUACGGGAGGCAGCAGUAGGGAAUCUUCGGCAAUUGACGAAAGUCUGACCGAGCAACGCCGCGUGAGUGAAGAAGGUUUUCGGAUCGUAAAACUCUGUUGUUAGAGAAGCGGUAUCUAACCAGAAAGCCACGGCUAACUACGUGCCAGCAGCCGCGGUAAUAC
rnacentral:rRNA from 1 species